GGCGGUAUAGUGCAGAGGUUAGCAUAUCCCCCUCCCACGGGGAAGACCUUGGUUCGAAUCCGAGUUCCGCCA
rnacentral:tRNA from 1 species